rnacentral:tmRNA from 1 species
GGGGAUGACUGGAUUUGACAGCGGGCAGAAGUGGUAGGUAAGCAUGCAGUGCGCUGGUGGCUAGCACUAUAAUCUUUGGAGACCAAAAAUUUAACUGGCGAGAAUAACUAUGCUCUUGCUGCUUAAUCGAAUAAUAGUAGAUUGAAGCUUAAUCUGGACACGGGUGUUCAGACAAGACGUUUCCCCGAUGCUAAGUCCUGAGGCGGUCGGAAUCGGAGGCGCAGAAAAAUCAGGAAUAGUUUGGGUAUGCCUCGCUGCCCGAAUGAAAUUUUAGAGGAUAAGACGGUAGUUGGUGGUCUUGGUCUUGCUAUCGUACGAAAAUGAAGUCAAGAAUAAGCAUGUAGAAAGCUUAUGAUUUCCUCGUUUGGACCAGGGUUCGAACCCCUGCAUCUCCACA